GGGAUUGCCCUAGUAACGGCGAGUGAAGCGGCAACAGCUCAAAUUUGAAAUCUGGCUCUUUUAGGGUCCGAGUUGUAAUUUGCAGAGGGCGCUUUGGCGUUGGCAGCGGUCCAAGUUCUUUGGAACAGGACGUCACAGAGGGUGAGAAUCCCGUACGUGGUCGCUAUCCUUCGCCGUGUAAAGCCCCUUCGACGAGUCGAGUUGUUUGGGAAUGCAGCUCUAAAUGGGAGGUAAAUUUCUUCUAAAGCUAAAUACUGGCCAGAGACCGAUAGCGCACAAGUAGAGUGAUCGAAAGAUGAAAAGCACUUUGGAAAGAGAGUCAAAUAGCACGUGAAAUUGUUGAAAGGGAAGCGCUUGCAGCCAGACUUGCCUGUAGUUGCUUAUCCGGACUCUUGUCCGGUGCACUCUUCUGCGGGCAGGCCAGCAUCAGUUUGGGCAGUUGGAUAAAGGUCUCUGUCAUGUACCUCUCUUCGGGGAGGCCUUAUAGGGGAGACGACAUGCAACUAGCCUGGACUGAGGUCCGCGCAUCUGCUAGGAUGCUGGCGUAAUGGCUGUAAGCGGCCCGUCUUGAAACACGGACCAAGGAGUCUAACAUCUAUGCGAGUGUUUGGGUGUCAAGCCCAGACGCGUAAUGAAAGUGAACGGAGGUGGGAACCCUUUGGGUGCACCAUCGACCGAUCCUGAUGUCUUCGGAAGGAUUUGAGUAAGAGCAUGGCUGUUGGGACCCGAAAGAUGGUGAACUAUGCUUGAAUAGGGUGAAGCCAGAGGAAACUCUGGUGGAGGCUCGCAGCGGUUCUGACGUGCAAAUCGAUCGUCAAAUUUGGGCAUAGGGGCG
rnacentral:rRNA from 1 species